UAAUGAAAGAGUACAGGCCUGUAAGGCAGCUACGGCACAGAUUUUGCACAGCAGAUCUUAAUGGUCCACAAGAAAUCUUUGCAGUGCAUCUGCAUAGGAAGCUCCAUAUGGUAUUUCUGAGGCAUGUGCAAGCUAAUCAGAAUUUAAACUACACAGACUGGCUUUCUAAGAAUACCUCAUUUUUCAUGUCAUUGAAUAGCAUUUUGACAAGCCAUAUCAUCUGCCUGCAAAAGUACAAUUUAAAAGAGAAAUACAUGAUGAGAAAGAGCAAUGUGGGACGCCUUUCCUAAAGGUACUUUCGGGCAUGGUGCUGUGGAGUGAAACUGCGAUUACACAAUCCUGCUCCGCUCACAGCGGGCUCCCUGGGCAGGGGCUGGCACGCACGGGAACAAGGCUGCAGCUCCCCCAGCCCUGGGGCCACCACGAAAUCUUAAGGAGGAAAAGUAAAAGCUCCUCACACAAAACUCCAGCUACACUUCCAAGUACAUCCCCUUUCGCGGGCAGAGAAGGAAAGGGGAAAUCCUCCACAGCACCAGACCAUUUCCACACGCUGACCCAGAGCAAGUGAAGCACCGCGGUGGCAGGACACGGGACGGAGAGAGCGGAGAUUCCCCGCGCUGCAGCUCUUGAAGCGGGCAGCUCGCUAGCCCGUCGCAUGCCAGGCAGCGCUCUCCGUCGUGGCGUGCAAAGCAGAAAGACGGUCCCAUGAUUCAGUGCUAUUAAUAAAGGGAAGCGCCCUCACAUCAUAUUUGUGACCCAUCCCUAAGUACUACUGAGUAUUUCUACUCCAUUAGAUUACAUUGUUAAAGAAUAAAAAUACACAAUAUGAGGGAAAAAAAAUAUUAUACCAGAAAGUCCAAAUUGGCAAAAAGUCAAAAACUACUGCAUUGCUAGGAUUAGUAGUUACAAUGCUCACUGCACAAAUUAGCAGGUUCUUAUAAAACAUCUGGGAUCGGUGGAAGUCAAUGCACAGCAUACACUUUGAGCCAGUUUCUUCUAAUGUACUGAACGCUGCAACCUUCUACUAUUAAAUAAAGCAGAACCAUCUGAAACAUG